UGCUUCUGCAAGGGUCACCCUUAUUUGUGAAACAAUCAUCUGCAGCCUGCAAUCUGAAAAUGAAGCUUUUUCCUGAAAACCUUUUCAGCUGUAAGGCAACUUGGUCACCUAGACAAGCAGAUUCUCUGAGGCCAAUGAAUUCACGUACAUUGGGAGAGUUGAAGCCUUCUCUGCAAGUGAAAGAAGAAUCUUAGGAAUAAGGCUCUUUAUUGCGUUCUCUGUGCUUUGGAGACUAUGAGUUCCUGUAUCAAAUUAUUCCCCCUCGCUGGACUGUGCAAGAAAAUGAAAUCGGGAGAGAAAGGGAACAGAUCAGCAUGAAGCUAAUGUGGAAGCACCUGUGCUUUCGCAAGGGCCUUCUCCACAACUGCAGCAGGUAUCUCUGCUGGGAAAUGCUUCAUUCCCUCCAUUGC